rnacentral:rRNA from 1 species
GCAAGUCGAACGAGAAAGCCUUCGGGUGAGUAGAGUGGCGCACGGGAGAGUAAUGGAUAGGAACGUACCAAUAAGUGGGGAAUAACCAUUGGAAACGAUGGCUAAUACCGCAUGUGGUCUUCGGACUAAAGCAGGCUUCGGCUCGCGCUUAUUGAUCGGCCUAUCUCCCAUUAGCUUGAUGGUGGGGUAAUAGCCUACCAUGGCGACGAUGGGUAGCUGGUCUGAGAGGAUGAUC